CUGUUGCUUAUAGACACUGAUCCAGAACACGUCAGACCACACUUGUGGUGAAGAAAGCCUGUGGUUCCAGAGAAUCAAAGCCAGGUAGAUAAGCUGGCAAUUGGAUCAAGGUGAAAGCAGUUCUUCCAUUGAGUUAAGACUGUUGGAAAAAUGCAAUGCAGUUGUGAUAGGCUAUAUCUUUCACUCACUCUCCAUUUACAAUGAAGCACAAGAAACUGGAAAUAAAUGACCAAGCCAUAUAGAGAUUAUGAGAAUUAGUGAUCAGCAUUGGCGAUUUUUGUUCCCAGCCACCCCCUCAGGAUGUGUUUACCCAGCAAAUCUUCCCAGGGACAAGGGGACUCAAUUCCACACAUGUGUGUCCAAGAUGACAGUCCCUCUGGCAGCUGUGAAAAGCAGCUUCUGUGAGAGUGACAACGGAUGGUACUGACAACCCCCUCGGCUACUAAGUUUGCUUCUGGAGCAAUGGGACGCAAGUGACAUCGGACUUAACGGCUUGUGUUCCUGGAGACAGUUGAGGUGUCAUGAUUUUGCAAUAAUGCUUCUUCCUUUCCUCCAGUCUUGGGGAAGAACGUCCCAGUCCUCAGCCAGGGCUUCCCAGGUGCUUCCAGGGGAGGUUCUUACUCAGUCUGAGCCAAAGCCCAGGGGUGGUGCCCACCCUCGUUGGCCAGCUCUCCCGGGCUACCUUUGAUUUUCAGCACUAACUCGUGGUUUUCAGCUUUGGAGAAUAGACUGAGACAGCAUGCUAAUAUCCACUGGGGUUCACACUGGUGAACCAGAGACAGAGCACUCAAUAGUCCUGUUUGUAAAAUGAAGCCAAUGAAUUAGACCAGGACUUUCCACCCUGUGCUCUGAGGCACCCUGGAUGUUCCUCACCUGUGUCUGUAGAUAGUGGAAGGAGG
rnacentral:lncRNA from 1 species